GAUGAAGAACGUAGCGAAAUGCGAUACUUGGUGUGAAUUGCAGAAUCCCGUGAACCAUCGAGUCUUUGAACGCAAGUUGCGCCCGAAGCCAUUAGGCCGAGGGCACGCCUGCCUGGGCGUCACACGUCGUUGCCCCCCCAUCUACUCCUUCGGGAUUGCGGGGGGCGGAUGAUGGCCUCCCGUGCGCCUCGUCGCGCGGUUGGCAUAAAUGCCAAGUCCUCGGCGACGCACGCCACGACAAUCGGUGGUUGCGAAACCUCGGUUGCCCGUCGUGUGCGGUCGUCGCGCAUCGAGGGCUCGAAAAAAUUGUCGGGCUCCGGCUCGGCUUUCAACGCGACCCCAGGUCAGGCGGGGUUACCCGCUGGAUUUAAGCAUAUCAAUAAGCGGAGGA
rnacentral:misc_RNA from 1 species